UUUCCCUUCACACUUGACUCUGGCCAAGCCUCAGGAGACACGCAGGGUCAGGCCUGGUUAGUGCUUGGAUGGGAGACUGCCUCAGAAUACCAGGU
rnacentral:rRNA from 12 species